GGGGGCGCAAUGGCUUCGACGGGGGUGUUGAAGCAGGAGUAGCGAGUCGAUGUGACCAGUCAUCGUUAAAAAUGGCAACAUAAAUAUAAAAGACAACAAUAAUUACGCACUAGCAGCUUAAUGCUGCUCGUCCGACCAUAAUAACCCACGGUUAAGGACUCGGGCGUCAAUUAGUGGGGAACCGAUUAUAGGGGUGUUCCGACCUAUAGUUGAAUAACUGGAACUAGUCUGAUAGGUAGCUUGUCAUUGAGCGACUUUGAUGGCGAAUUUUAAAUCAAUGACUGCACUCGGAGAAACUCCUGUGAAUGCAUUUUCGGACGUGGGUUCAAUUCCCACCGCCUCCACCA
rnacentral:tmRNA from 1 species